rnacentral:rRNA from 1 species
UACGUAGGGACCAAGCGUUGUUCGGAUUUACUGGGCGUAAAGGGCGCGUAGGCGGCGUGGUAAGUCACUUGUGAAAUCUCUGAGCUUAACUCAGAACGGCCAAGUGAUACUGCUGUGCUAGAGUGCAGAAGGGGCAAUCGGAAUUCUUGGUGUAGCGGUGAAAUGCGUAGAUAUCAAGAGGAACACCUGAGGUGAAGACGGGUUGCUGGGCUGACACUGACGCUGAGGCGCGAAAGCCAGGGGAGCAAGCGGG